AAUUUGAACGAUGUUCAAGGGAUCACACGACUCAUUUAGCCAAUGUUCGCGAAAACUUUUCAUCCAGCAGGACAGCGAGGAUUCUUGGCCCUCCUAUAACAGAAAACGCACAUCUGUGCUCUUGAGUUUCCUUAUGAGGACUUUUACUGGCUUACGCAUCGGAAAAAUGUUGUAGUUGCAAGAUCAAAGAAGAUUAUGCACGCUUGGCAGAGAUUUCACAGGUGGAAAUAAGACCAUCCGCGGCAAAGCUCAUGUCACCGAAAUGGAUUAGUUUUUCAUACAGUAUCACAGCGUUACUAUUCUCGGUCUAUGUCAUUAACCGACGCAAAAGUUCUUAUUAGGCGCCGUGAAGCAAGUGGGCAUUGGCUAGUAUACGUAUAAAAUUGUGAAGGAAUUCUAUAAUGGCUCUGGGUAACCGUUACCAUUGCAUUGCCUGUUGAAGAUGUGGCCGAAGCAUAGCUGAAUGUAGCUGAAAAACUUAGUGCGAAAAUGCCAUUGGCCUAAAACACGCACGAAUAAUUGUGCAAGCAUGGUUUGUUGGCGAGGGGAAUGAAGACAAUACAUUGUUCGGAGUCCCAUCACUCAAAUAAAAAUCUGUUUGAGAUUGCCGACUGUUUGCCCAGGUUUGAACUAAAUUGGACCUACCUAAAGAGGAAGAAGGUGUGUCUUCUUCAUCCUGGUGGGAUUGAAGGGAUUUUUCAAAGGAUGCCUCUACCAAUUCGCAAUUUGAAGUCGAGGCGCUAUCUGCUGCUUCGGGCGAAAAAGGUAUCGGCAGAAAAUCCUCAACGCCAAGUUCUAUUACAGGGUCAGCGCUCGAAUCCAAAAUUUCGCAAUCAAUCUCUAUAAUAGAAUCGAAACUUGGCUGAAAAUCUUCAACUCCUACUUCUAUGACUCCUUGUACGUCUUCAACUAAACUGCCUGAUACAUUCCUAUCAGUAAUCUCAUUUUCCCUACUAGCUGUCACUGCGGGCGAAUAUAAUCUUAAAUUAAUAUCGGGAACUGCCCAUUUGUGAAGGCCUCGGCUACUUCUCAUCUGAUGGGAAAAAUGCCUCUGGCAGGCGAAAAUAUGUUUCGCUGUUGGGCCCACCACACCCAACAACUGGAGCCAUUUACGCCGCCUAUUGAAAAAAAGUAAUUAGCAUUAAAGCUAAAUACCAUAUGCAAAACUAGCAUACUAAUUAAUGCAUAUACAAUGGUAAUAUAGUACAUAUAUAAAUAGAAUAAAAUACAAAUAAAAUACAACCAAGCAGUUUUAGUAUAGGAAAGAUGGGGUGUGUGUACUAACUCCUAGAAGUUGGAAGUUUUUGCUGGCAUACUGGCGGAAAAUUUGGAACUUCUAGCAUUUAUCAUAGAAACCUAUUAAUACAUCAUAUUAAAUAUAAGCAAAGAUUUUCCAAAACCAAAUUUAGCAAACACUUGCUAGUCCAAUUAAAGUUGUUAGUUUAAUGAAAGUUAAAAUUGAAAACCAAAACAUACUCAAAAAUAAAUUAGUAAAGCGAAAUUGAAAUUUUAUGUUAAGUGGAAAUCGAUAGGAAAUCACGGGCAAAGGGAGAUGGUUAAAU